rnacentral:lncRNA from 1 species
AUAAAUCUUAAAUAUAUUCUAAUCAAAUCUUAUUUUAAUCUUAUUUAAAAUCCUAAUGGAUUUUAAUUAAAUCUUAGGUAAAAUCCUAACUAAAUCCUAAAUCAUAAAUCAAAUCUUAGACAAAUCUUAAGCCCUAAAUUAAAUCCUAAAAAAAUCCUAAAUCCUAAACUAUAUCCUUGAAAAAUCCUAAACCAAUUUAGAAUCCCAAUAUUUAUUCAUUAAAUCAUCGAUUUUACUAAAAAAUUUACACACCUCUCAAUCUUUAAGUUGGCAACAAACACACAAAAUUUGAAGAAGAUCGAAUUAUCCAAAUAGAAGAUCAAAGCUAAAUUCCGCUCAAGUAUUGGCCAGCCUCCUACUCCAAUCUGAAUGUUAACUUCGAGUGCCAAUAUUUUUUUCUUAAACCAUUGCAUUUCCUCUAAAAUAUACCUAAACUAUUGGAAAUCAAGUCUAAUCUCUAUAAAAAUAAAAUUCACUU